rnacentral:rRNA from 1 species
CACGAACGCUGGCGGCAUGCCUAACACAUGCAAGUCGAACGAGAUCUUCGGGUCUAGUGGCGCACGGGUGCGUAACGCGUGGGAAUCUGCCCUUUGGUUCGGAAUAACAGUUGGAAACGACUGCUAAUACCGGAUGACGACGAAAGUCCAAAGAUUUAUCGCCAGAGGAUGAGCCCGCGUAGGAUUAGCUAGUUGGUGUGGUAAAGGCGCACCAAGGCGACGAUCCUUAGCUGGUCUGAGAGGAUGAUCAGCCACACUGGGACUGAGACACGGCCCAGACUCCUACGGGAGGCAGCAGUGGGGAAUAUUGGACAAUGGGCGAAAGCCUGAUCCAGCGAUGCCGCGUGAGUGAUGAAGGCCUUAGGGUUGUAAAGCUCUUUUACCCGGGAUGAUAAUGACAGUACCGGGAGAAUAAGCUCCGGCUAACUCCGUGCCAGCCGCCGCAGUAA